rnacentral:rRNA from 1 species
AGUGAACGCUGGCGGUAGGCCUAACACAUGCAAGUCGAACGGCAGCACAGAGGAGCUUGCUCCUUGGGUGGCGAGUGGCGGACGGGUGAGGAAUACAUCGGAAUCUACUCUGUCGUGGGGGAUAACGUAGGGAAACUUACGCUAAUACCGCAUACGACCUACGGGUGAAAGCAGGGGACCUUCGGGCCUGGCGCGAUUGAAUGAGCCGAUGUCGGAUUAGCUAGUUGGCGGGGUAAUGGCCCACCAAGGCGACGAUCCGUAGCUGGUCUGAGAGGAUGAUCAGCCACACUGGAACUGAGACACGGUCCAGACUCCUACGGGAGGCAGCAGUGGGGAAUAUUGGACAAUGGGCGCAAGCCUGAUCCAGCCAUACCGCGUGGGUGAAGAAGGCCUUCGGGUUGUAAAGCCCUUUUGUUGGGAAAGAAAUCCAGCUGGCUAAUACCCGGUUGGGAUGACGGUACCCAAAGAAUAAGCACCGGCUAACUUCGUGCCAGCAGCCGCAGUAA